GCCCUGGUGGUGGAACUGGUAGACACGCAGGACUUAAAAUCCUGUGUCCGUAAGGACGUACGGGUUCAAGUCCCGUCUGGGGUACAA
rnacentral:tRNA from 4 species